rnacentral:tRNA from 2 species
GCCCGGAUGGCGGAAUUGGUAGACGCGCUGGUCUCAAACACCAGUGGUAGCAAUAUCGUGCCGGUUCGACCCCGGCUCCGGGUA